GUAACACUUAGCCUACAGCCUGCAGCAGCAACUGUGGCAUGCCAUUGUCAUUGCCUUACCAUGAGGCCAGACACCAGGCAAAGCCAAGCCUCAGAUCUGUUCUGAGGCUUUACCAGGAGGAUUGACACCAAGGGCUUUCAAUUUGUUUUUACCUUGACACAUUAUUUUUAAAGCAAGAGCAAAACAUGAAGAGAGGUUUGUGUAAAAGAGCUCCCAAAGUGAAAGCAAAAGGGCAGGAUGUGUAGAAGAAAGAAUUGAAAACACAGACCUGUCGAAUUCCACUGAGGAAUCAAGGGAACCGAUUAAAUGUGACCAUUGGAAAGGCAUCGGCGAGAUUCCCGAUCAAUUUAUACCCCAACAUUGUAUGACAUUAAGGAAGAAAUUUUCAAUCACUUCAAAAUUGAUUUCCUAAGCAGCCAACUUGCUUGUACUAUUA
rnacentral:lncRNA from 1 species